rnacentral:ncRNA from 1 species
CAACCUGAGCUCAGUCGUGAUUACCCGCCGAACUUAAGCAUAUCAUUCAGCGGAGGAAAAGAAACUAACUAGGAUUCCCCAAGUAAUGGCGAAUGAAAGGGGAAGAGCCCAGCGCUGAAUCUCUCGGUCUUAGGCCGCUGAGAACUGUAGCGUAUAGGUGUGACUGUCCUGCUAUAUUGCAUUUCCGAAGUCUCUUUGAUAGGGGCCAACAUCCAGAGAGGGUGCGAGACCUGUACGGAAAGUAGUAUAGUUGGUAUGGUUACUCCUUGGAGUCGGGUUGCUUGAAAGUGCAGCCUAAAGUUGGUGAUAAACUUCAUCUAAGGCUAAAUAUCGACGCGAAAUCGAUAGCAAACAAGUACCGUGAGGGAAAGUUGCAAAGAACUUUGAAGAGAGAGUUCAAGAGAACGUGAAAUCGCUGAAGUGGAACCGGAGAGAGUUAACAUAACUUGGUAGCUAUAUCCUCUAAAGUCGCUUAACUGUGGCUCUGGGGGGUGGACGCUACCUGUUGUUGUCACUGACUGCGUUGAUUGUGCUUUCCGAACAGUAUAGUGUUGCCCACUUUGUGGUGUCUUGCUUUCUGGGAGGUUUGUCAUAAUUAACGUAAGCCAAUUCCCUUUGGAGUCAGUGUGAAAGUUAACCACCUUUCCGACCCGUCUUGAAACACGGACCGAGGAGUGUAAUUUAUACGCGAGUCAAGGGUGGUGAAACCCUAGGG